CAUCUGCUUUUGCUGUGGUAUCAGAAAUUCAAAGUGCUAUUCACAAACUUAUCAUAUGCCAGACUCACUGCAUACCGACGUUUUCCUUCAGAAUUUGGCAGUAAAGGACUGUCCUGAUCUGAGGUCUUUGCCAGGUGUCCCGUCCAUAAUAAGGUGUGGUAUUGAAGAACCACCCAAUGGGAUACAGUGUUAUACCUCUCUUCUUCAAUAUAUGGAGAAUGGGAAUUGUGUGGGUUCUACUUCCAUUCAACACUACCACCCCUUCCUCCAAAAGCUCAAAUUGUGUGGGUCGUCUAUACAGGCUAUAGUCCACUCUCUCUUGGUCCUGGACCAAAUUCAAUACUUCAUUGCCCUUAAAAUUCUGUGGAUGGAGAAUUUUCAUGAAAUGGUAGCUUUGCCAGAGUGGUUGGGCAAUCUUUCCUCUCUUCAAAAGCUGUAUAUUGUGGAUUGCGAGAAGCUGAUGUAUCUGCCCACUGAGCAAGCCAUGCAACGCCUCACCAAAUUGGAAAAGCUGAUGAUUUAUGAUUUUCCCAAACUAAACAAUGAGCAGUCCAAGAUUAACCACAUUCCACUGGUUCACAUAAAUACUCAGCAAUAGGGACAGCAUAUCUAUUGUGUUUUGCCAGAGGAAAAAUUAAUUUGUAGAGUUUGAAUUCGUUCCCAAGCCAAUUGAAGAGCUGCAUAUUCGUCAUUUCCCCAAAUUAAAGGAAAAAAGUGCGAAGUGGUCCAGGAUUGCCUAUAUAUCAAAUAGCUGGAUCACUAAAUGUCUUGAACAAAAAGCAGUUUGAAGAUGACCACUGUUCAGCCAGCUUUGACACCUAUAUGUCCUUAGCUGGAGCCUCUGCAGAGGUGCUGCAGUAGCUUUUCAUCUUUUUAAGA